UCAAUGGGAAAUUUCCAUUUGGACAUACUUGGGUCUCUUCCAGUCUUCUUCCCCAGAAAGGUUGUGUCAAGACUCCGUGGGUUCACAGAACACUGAGGCAGUAGGAGAUGCUGCCUACGGUUCCUGCUGUGGAGAUGCUCAAUAGCCCAACCUACACACCCUGUGGGUGGGCUCCCUGCUGCUCCUGUACUGUGGGGACACAGGAGCUUUGGUGAAGUUGGGAGCCCCAGUUAAAGAUUUAACUCUGGGAGCUGUUAGAAACGGGAUAUUAUCUCUGCUGUUAUGGGCCCCAAACUCUCUCUUCUGUAACUCUGAUCUGGAAAUGAAAACCAAAUGGUCUUGCUUCUCCUCUGAGGCAAGAAAGGUAAGUCUGUGUUUUUCUUCAGUGGGGAAGAGGAGAUUAAGAAGACCAGAAGAAAUACACUUCCCACAGAGUCUUUGACAUGGGAUUGGGAAACACUGCACAUGUAAUUACACCCUUGUGUUCCUGGCUCUUGCGAAGUCCUUUAAUAUGAAAACAUAUGUAUAUUUAUCUAAAACAGAGGUCCCCAAAUUGAUUUGUUGUCAAACUCCCUCCAGCCUGAGACAGUGUUCUGGAGAAUGAACUUUAGGGAAUCUGGGGGCUCUAUGCAAAUCUAUUUAGUGUCCAUAUUUGAAGGCCAGAGGACUAUAGAAUGCAUAUUUUGACACUGAUAGAGGGACACUUGUUCCUGUUGUCUAUAGUUUAACUCAGCCAAAUUCUUCUUUGCCUCAGCCUCCAUUUCUUUUCCAGCAUUUUAAGACCUUCUGGGGCAUCAGUGCCACAAGCCAGGGUGUCUGGGCAUCCCAAUUAUAUUCCCAGAGCUCAGUGCAUAGACAUGGAUGUUUCAUCUACAUGGUGAGCUUUACUGAGCCUAGGGUAAUAAUAGAAAUACUAGUAUAGUUCUGAGUUUGUGCUCACCCCUGUCUGCUGGCACACAAGCCUGUUGAGUUUCUUUCUCAUGUUAGCAAGAAACAUACACUGACCUUGGUUGCAUAGCUAGCUGAGAAGGGAGAUAAACGCUGGCUGAAAGGUGAAGACAGAAAUCACCCUCUAUUAUUGCUUCCAUCUUCCAGCCUAUUCUUUUUAAGUAGUGUUAGUUCCGUGUGUGUUUUAGUUCCUUAUCUACGAUUGAGCUCUUUGCUUCUCUGCUCGAGGUCCUGUCCCAUGCUU
rnacentral:lncRNA from 1 species